rnacentral:misc_RNA from 1 species
AAUCAUCAAAAGCCCUUUUCUAUGAUCCUUUCGGUCGAGAAAAGGAUUUUGGACUUGGAGGAUCAAUGCUCGCUCUCACUUUUCGAAAGCGAGCUCCUCUCAAAUAAAUUAGUGGGGGUUUGCUUCGCCGAUCCUUGAUGUGAUAAGUCAUUUCUACGUUUUGGAUUUGGUGUCGUACCCGCUUCUAACCGUCCUAUGGACGUCUGAUGGUGUUCUGGUCACCACUGCUCUGUGUUGGUGGAGGGCUGGACCCACAAGAAAACC